rnacentral:rRNA from 1 species
UACGUAGGUGGCGAGCGUUGUCCGGAUUUAUUGGGCGUAAAGCGCGCGCAGGCGGUCCGUUACGUCCGUUGUGAAAGCUCCCGGCUCAACUGGGAGAGGUCUUCGGAUACGGGCGGACUCGAGGAAGGUAGAGGAAGGUGGAAUUCCCGGUGUAGUGGUGAAAUGCGUAGAGAUGCGGAGGAACACCAGUGGCGAAAGCGACUUUCUGGUCCUUAACUGACGCUGAGGCGCGAAAGCAUGGGGAGCGAACGGG